rnacentral:rRNA from 1 species
UACGUAGGGUGCAAGCGUUAAUCGGAAUUACUGGGCGUAAAGCGUGCGCAGGCGGUUUUGUAAGUUUGUCGUGAAAUCCCCGGGCUCAACCUGGGAAUGGCGAUGAAGACUGCAAGGCUAGAAUCUGGCAGAGGGGGGGUAGAAUUCCACGUGUAGCAGUGAAAUGCGUAGAGAUGUGGAGGAACACCGAUGGCGAAGGCAGCCCCCUGGGUCAAGAUUGACGCUCAUGCACGAA